rnacentral:rRNA from 1 species
GUGGGGAAUAUUGGACAAUGGGCGAAAGCCUGAUCCAGCCAUGCCGCGUGAGUGAUGAAGGCCCUAGGGUUGUAAAGCUCUUUCACCGGUGAAGAUAAUGACGGUAACCGGAGAAGAAGCCCCGGCUAACUUCGUGCCAGCAGCCGCGGUAAUACGAAGGGGGCUAGCGUUGUUCGGAAUUACUGGGCGUAAAGCGCACGUAGGCGGACAUUUAAGUCAGGGGUGAAAUCCCGGGGCUCAACCUCGGAACUGCCUUUGAUACUGGGUGUCUCGAGUCCGGAAGAGGUGAGUGGAAUUCCGAGUGUAGAGGUGAAAUUCGUAGAUAUUCGGAGGAACACCAGUGGCGAAGGCGACUCACUGGUCCGGUACUGACGCUGAGGUGCGAAAGCGUGGGGAGCAAACAGGAUUAGAAACCCGUGUAGUCC